rnacentral:rRNA from 1 species
GACGAACGCUGGCGGCGUGCUUAACACAUGCAAGUCGAGCGGUAAGGCCCUUUCGGGGGUACACGAGCGGCGAACGGGUGAGUAACACGUGGGUGACCUGCCCUCAGCUCUGGGAUAAGCCUGGGAAACCGGGUCUAAUACUGGAUAUGACUCCAUGACGCAUGUUGGUGGGGUGGAAAGCCUUGUGCGGCUGAGGAUGGGCCCGCGGCCUAUCAGCUUGUUGGUGGGGUGAGGCCUACCAAGGCGACGACGGGUAGCCGGCCUGAGAGGGCGACCGGCCACACUGGGACUGAGACACGGCCCAGACUCCUACGGGAGGCAGCAGUGGGGAAUCUUGCGCAAUGGGCGAAAGCCUGACGCAGCGACGCCGCGUGAGGGAUGACGGCCUGGUU